UACCUCACCCCUACCCCAUCUCACCCAUAGGUAACUCCCCCUCCCCUCAUAUUUUGAACACAUAUACAAACCACUAGAAUAACAACAAAAAGGAGGAUACACACACCUCACCACAACAGGUGGUCCCCAUAGGAAUCUUCUAUACAAAUGUACUCACAAUAACACCACAACAACCAUAUAUACUCAUCUUCUCCAAAACCAAGUGACAGAGACGACAACAAUCUAUUUCUUUCAAUGGGAGAAAGGGCACACAGUAAAAAUCAACACACACGUACACGAGCUAACCAAAAAAUAGACCCAUCAAGAGAGA
rnacentral:lncRNA from 1 species